rnacentral:rRNA from 1 species
GAACCGUCCAAACGUUAUUCGGAAUUACUGGGCUUAAAGGGUGCGUAGGCGGCUUGGCAAGUUGGGUGUGAAAUCCCUCGGCUCAACCGGGGAACUGCGCUCAAAACUGCCAGGCUAGAGGAAGAUAGAGGUGAGCGGAACUAAUGGUGGAGCGGUGAAAUGCGUUGAUAUCAUUAGGAACACCUGUGGCGAAAGCGGCUCACUGGGUCUUUUCUGACGCUGAGGCACGAAAGCUAGGGUAGCGAACGGGGAUUAGAUACCCCGGUAGUCCUAGCCGUAAACGAUGAGCACUAGGUUGGAGGCUCCCUUCAUAGGCUUCCGACCCGAAGCGAAAGUGUUAAGUGCUCCGCCUGGGGGAGUAUGGUCGCAAGGCUG